rnacentral:rRNA from 1 species
UACGGGGGGAGCAAGCGUUGUUCGGAUUUACUGGGCGUAAAGGGCGCGCAGGCGGCUGCUCAAGUCAGGCGUGAAAGUCCUGGGCUCAACCUGGGAACUGCGCUUGAUACGGCAGAGCUAGAGGAUGGAAGAGGCUCGCGGAAUUCCCAGUGUAGAGGUGAAAUUCGUAGAUAUUGGGAAGAACACCGGUGGCGAAGGCGGCGAGCUGGUCCAUUACUGACGCUGA